UACAGGGGGGGCAAGCGUUGUUCGGAAUUACUGGGCGUAAAGGGUCAGUAGGCGGCCAACUAAGUCCGACGUGAAAUCCCAAGGCUUAACUUUGGAACUGCGUCGGAUACUGGAUGGCUUGAAUUCGGGAGAGGGAUGCAGAAUUCCAGGUGUAGCGGUGAAAUGCGUAGAUAUCUGGAGGAAUACCGGUGGCGAAGGCGGCAUCCUGGACCGAGAUUGACACUGAUGAGCGAAAGCUAGGGGAGCAAACGGG
rnacentral:rRNA from 1 species